CAACCAAUCCCGAAGAGCCUUAGAGUCGCUCAAACGUCUUCUGUUUUCCCGUGGCGUCAAACGCCACAUGAGCGCAUCUUAAUAACGUCUCCUAUUACGUGUGCGCGGGAAAACCCGAUGCGAAAUUGGAAGAAGAGCAAGCU
ensembl:ncRNA K02H8.5 ncRNA